GAACGGGUCUUACGCACUCUUAACGAUUGUGUCCGCACCUUGUUAUUUCAUGCUAAUGUGCCACCCCGCUUCUGGCCCGAUGCACUUGCCACCGCAUCCCGCCUCAUCAACAUUCGGCCUUGCCGCGUCCGCGGCAACUUUGCACCACACCACUUGCUUUUCGGGAGCCCCCCAUCCUACGACGAUCUUCGCAUCUUCGGGUACCUCUGCUAUCCCAGCAUCGCCUCUACCACCCCUCAUAAGCUCGCUCCUCGCUCUCUUGCGUGCGUCUUCUUGGGUUACCCUGCCAACACCAAGGGCUACCGCUGCUACGACCCUGUUUCUCACCGUGUCUUCACCUCUAGACACGUUUACUUU
rnacentral:rRNA from 1 species